GCGCUACCUUCGGGUGGAGCGGCGGACGGGUUAGUAACGCGUGGGAAUAUACCCUUCACUAUGGAAUAGCCUCGGGAAACUGAGAGUAAUACCAUAUACGCCCUUCGGGGGAAAGAUUUAUCGGUGAAGGAUUAGCCCGCGUAAGAUUAGAUAGUUGGUGGGGUAAUGGCCUACCAAGUCUACGAUCUUUAGCUGGUUUUAGAGGAUGAUCAGCAACACUGGGACUGAGACACGGCCCAGACUCCUACGGGAGGCAGCAGUGGGGAAUCUUAGACAAUGGGCGCAAGCCUGAUCUAGCCAUGCCGCGUGAGUGAUGAAGGUCUUAGGAUCGUAAAGCUCUUUCGCUAGGGAUGAUAAUGACAGUACCUAGUAAAGAAGCCCCGGCUAACUCCGUGCCAGCAGCCGCGGUAAUACGGAGGGGGCUAGCGUUGUUCGGAAUUACUGGGCGUAAAGCGUACGUAGGCGGAUCAGAAAGUAUGGGGUGAAAUCCCAGGGCUUAACCCUGGAACUGCCUCAUAAACUCCUGGUCUUGAGUUCGAGAGAGGUGAGUGGAAUUCCAAGUGUA
rnacentral:rRNA from 1 species